rnacentral:ncRNA from 1 species
GGAGGAUAUUAGACUUUCUUAAUGUUCCAUUCAGUCCCCAGCAAUUUUCGAACACGAGGUUCGAAAAAGGCUUCCACCCGCCAGGAGGGCGGAUUGGAAGCCGGUUGCGUCACUUGUCAGUACCCUUUUCCAUGGAACAUUUAGAAAGCCUUAUAUCCGCA